rnacentral:rRNA from 1 species
GUGCCAGCAGCCGCGGUAAUUCCAUGUCUCCAAUAGCGUAUAUUAAAGUUGUUGUGGUUAAAAAGCUCGUAGUUGAACCUUGGGCCUGGCUGGCCGGUCCGCCUCACCGCGUGCACUGGUCCGGCCGGGCCUUUCCCUCUGUGGAACCCCAUACCCUUCACUGGGCGUGGCGGGGAAACAGGACAUUUACUUUGAAAAAAUUAGAGUGCUCCAGGCAGGCCUAUGCUCGAAUACAUUAGCAUGGAAUAAUAAAAUAGGACGCGCGGUUCUAUUUUGUUGGUUUAUAGGACCGCCGUAAUGAUUAAUAGGGACAGUCGGGGGCAUCAGUAUUCAACUGUCAGAGGUGAAACUCUUGGAUCAGUUGAAGACUAACUACUGCGAAAGCAUUUGCCAAGGAUGUUUUCAUUAAUCAGGAACGAAAGUUAGGGGAUCGAAGACGAUCAGAUACCGUCGUAGUCUUAACCAUAAACUAUGCCGACUAGGGAUCGGACGGUGUUAUUCAUGACCCGUUCGGCACCUUACGAGAAAUCAAAGUGCUUGGGCUCCAGGGGGAGUAUGGGUCGCAAGGCUGAAACUUAAAGAAAUUGACGGAAGGGCACCACCAGGGGUGGAGCCUGCGGCUUAAUUUGACUCAACACGGGGAAACUCACCAGGUCCAGACACAAUAAGGAUUGACAGAUUGAGAGCUCUUUCUUGAUUUUGUGGGUGGUGGUGCAUGACCGUUCUUAGUUGGUGGGGUGACUUGUCUGCUUAAUUGCGAUACGACGAGACCUAACCUGCUAAAUAGCCGCAUGCUCCGGCAGUGCGCUGGCUUCUUAGAGGGACUUUCGGCUCAA